CGCAAGACAUGAAAGGAUCAAAGGGAUUCUAGCGCUAAGCCCCGCCCACAUCCGCAAUGACGGCGACGUGACGUUACCCUAGCGACCGCUAUACAAUGGCGAUCCUCAGUGUUUGGGAUUAAGUGAAACUUCUAUGGAUGUCAAUCAUGUAGCCUGCUGGUCCACUGCUUUAACCCACAGCAAAUACUGUUAAAAUCCUUCCUUUAAAGUUAGAAUGUCAAGCGACCCCCCGCUCCCACCCUCACCCACUGUGUUGUUGUCGGGUUUACCGUGACUGCUGAUCCUACACAUGUGACACACGGGCAGCAUGGUGGCACGGUUAGCACUGUUGCCUUACAGCAAGAAGGUUGUGAGUUCAAUUCCACUAUCAGGCCAGGGUCUUUCUGUGUGGAGUUUGCAUGUUCUCCCCGGUUUCUUCCCACAGUUCAAAAGGCAUGCAGUUAGUGGGGAUAGGUUAAUUGAAAAAUCUGAAUUGCCCAUUGUUUUUAGAAAAAUCUAAAUUGCCCAUAGGUGUGAGUGAAUGUGAGUACGAAUGUUUAGCCCUGUGACAGACUAGCGACCUGUCCAGGGCGUACCCUGCCUCUCGCCCUAAGAUAGCUGCCAUAGGCUCCAGCGCCCCUUGCGACCCUCAAAAGGAAACGCGUCCUUGUAGUACUUCGUGGUCUUAGAAGCUUGAAAGAGGAUGACUGGAGUUCUUGAAGUUGUUUGAAUACAGAGGAAACAGACAUUAGCAAUAGAAAAACAGAAUGACAAACAUAACAGCCUUUACUUAUGUAGCAGGUUUGUCAGAGAAACUCGAGAGAAUUUUCUCCAAGAACAACACUUCAGACUCAGCCACACCCUCAGACAACAACUGGUUCAUCCCAAGGAUAAAACUCCCAAACACGAGCUAAACGACACGGGGUAUGCCGUGCAGUGAGGAAUGCUUGGACUUCUACAUUGACUGUAGAAACCAGAGAGCCACUCCCUAUAAACGCAUGGCACAACAUAGAAGAGCCUCCUUGACAGGCCAAGACUCAGACUUGCAUCUGCAUCUACAGGACAAAAGUCACACCUUCAGAUGGUUUGAAAAUCAGCCCAAAUAAUCACCCCUCCACCCCUGUGCUUUAUGGUUAGCAUGAUGUGUUUGGUCUCGCCUGUGCAAAGGACAUUUUACCAGAAGUCUUGUGGUUUGCUCAGAUGUGGCUUUGCAUACAUACAAUGUGCUGCUGUAUUCUUUAUAGACAGAAGAGGCUUUUAACAUGCUGACUGAGGCCUGUAGAGUCUGAGAUGGGGUUAAUUUUGUUCCGGGAAGAUUAUGGCUUUGUGUUAACACACCUGAAUGCUCCCCUUCAGAGGUGACAGUCUGCUUUAAAAUAGAUGCUCACACUUACUAACGCUCAACUAACCAAAUGCAUUUGAUUAGCAGCACCUGGAAGCAACUGACCAGGGGAGCCACCAUAGGGGUGGGGAGACACUGGCCUCCCCUGACAAGACUGCCUUAUGUUGGUAAUAACUUUAAUAAAUGUAAGCACAUGAGAGAGGAAGACACCCUACAAUGAACUUGUCAUGGGGUUAGUGUUUCACAGGACUGCAGAGAGCCCUGUGAAAACGUUCUCUUUGCUGUUCAUCAUCUGCUUUUGAAAUGAAUAGUUUAUUAAAUGUGAAUGUUCACUUGUUUUCUUUUAAAUUUAAAGACAGGCGCACAGAGCAGUUGUUUUGGGCUGUAAUUUGUGACCCACCAACUGAAAUGAGUUUGACAGCCCUGCCCUAAUCCAGAGUGAAAUGCAAAAUGAGCUAUUAGUAUGUAUCUAGGGGUGAUUUAAAGAGCGUUGCCCUCUCAGAAUCAAUCCAGACUGAUUUAAACAGAUGUCAGUGAAGUUGACUUAGUGCAGGUCAGCGUGUGUAGAAGAUCACAUGCUGCCUGAUGCGUACCUGAACCGCAGAACGUAUUUGAGUGUAUUACUGGUGACAAAUUGUCCUCAUGGCUCAUGUGAGUAAUGAGGACUCAUUAUUUGCGAGAGUCACAAGAUGAGAGCGUCCACUACCGGCUGCUCGGGUCUGCUGCUGAGUUAACAUGUUCUCAUCCAGCAGAUUAGCCAGCGAGGGGUUGCUGUCGAGUUAUUACCUUGGACCUAAAUGAGAAGAAGAUACUCGAGUAUUACAGUGUUUUUGUGAACUGCAAAAGCCCCAACUCACUUUAUGUGAACCAAAAUCUCGGUGAUUUAAGCUAAUGUAGUGAAUCAACCAAACUUUAAAUGGUUUUUAGCUCAUUAGACACAAAUUGCAGACCCCGUAUUAAUCUUUUUUUGAAUGCAUACACCUUUGAUUUUCAUGUAUUCAGUCUGAAUUAUUGCUUCAUGGUUAUGAGGGCAAAGAAGCUUUUAUUUUGAGUGUGUGUUUGAAACACUAAGAGAUGUUAGUGUCUUUGAGAUUCUUAGUUUGUCAACUUUGUGUAGACAACUCAGGACUUUGUAGGUGUUUGGAUAUAAAGCUCACUCUGAUCUGCUGAUGUCUCUGUGUCUCUCCAGCAUCAGGUGAUCUGAUAGGGCUUCAGGAUGUAAAACAAUGCAUCUCAAAGGUUGUGGCUCGAGAAGCAAAGAGAGCAGUAUUUCCCAAUGUUUCCAACAUAAAUAGGUCCUCAUCUGAGUGGACAGAGGCUCUUCUUGGAUUUUAAUUGUCUCAUGAAUUCUAAAAAGCUGAGCAGAUUUUAGUAAACUUCUGUAUGUGUAACUCAACACUUGAAACCUCAUGUGUGUCACAGUCCUCUUGUCCUCCUGUGGCAAUCUGCAUCUCUUUCCUCUCUCUGUGUGAGUGUGAGUGUGGGUUUGUCCCUUAACCUGCUUGUGUGUUUCAGAGAUGGCGUUUGUUCCCAUGGUUACUCUGGCUACACACCUGGAAGCUGUUUCGUAUCAUCCAUAAUCAUCCAACUGUCUGCAAUCCAGUGAUUACCCACUGGCUCUUUAAGGCUGAAGAGUCCCCUCGGUUGAUGCCAGGUCGAUGUGUAGUUCGACUCUGCUGUGGACGUCUCCACGCCCGUGUGGUGAAACCGGUGGUGAGAAAAGAAAAGCUGCGGAGGAAAUACCUCUCAAGAUGACUCUAUCUUCAAUAAGCCUGUUAAGCCUUUAUUCUGAUGUCCUGCAUUUGACUCCAGAUCCUUGAAAAAGUGAUUCUCUUGCAGUUCUACAAAAAAUGCAAACUAUAAACGGGAAAGGACCCAACACUUGUACUUUCAAAGAAAAUAAUACACCAUCAGACUUCUUUGUCUUAAACUAUGGUUUACCGGCUCCACAUUUCCUUCAUGUGCGCUUGAUUCAUACUCUUAUAACACAUAGUUAUGUUGGAUGAACCAUCUGCUUUCAUACGUAAAUUACAGCAUGACAUAUAAAAGAAUUUAAAAUAAGCCACCAUGAUCUUAAACCUCUGCUGUACUGUGAUGUUACAUGAUACUGGAGGAGGAGGGAGGUGGCAGUGGAGGACUCAUUUCUGUUUUUAUUUCAUACUUUAUCAUUUUUGUAGAAUUAUAAAACAACCCCGAGUUUGGAAAGACCAGAGUUACAUGUCAAGAACACUGUUUUUAAUUUUUUUUAUGCAGCGUGUCAUCAAUGUUGAAUGGUGUUUAUAUUUUUAUGGUCAUGCGUGUGAUCUGAAGAUUUAUGUGUAGUUCUGAACUGUGAGGGUUUGCCUCACAAGAGGUUAAAGUAUUUUGAAAACAGGGUUUUAUGUUUAAAGCUUUGAGAAGACUGAGAAAAGUUCUGAGAAAUGUUCCUUAGCAACUGAGAAAAACUGUAAGAAAAUACAAAUCUCAAAUGAUGAAACGGAGUAAGCGGUGAAAUUAAAUCUUCUCUCGCCUGCUCCCUUUAGGGCUCGCCACAGCGGGUCGUCUGUCUCCAUCCGACUCCAUCCUCAGUAUCCUGUCACGCCAACCCUCUGCAUGUCCUUCACUACAUCCAUGAAUCUUCUCUUUGCUCUUCAUUUUUUCCUCCUGCCUGGCAGCUCCAUCUCCAUCCCACUAUCCCUCCCUGUGCCAACAUAAAUAGUAAAAUGUCACAAAGUGCAUUUUAAGGCCAUGAGUCAAAGAAUCGGGAGCAUCAAAGAUGACUUGCACCGAAGCCUCCGGGUUUAUUCACAGGAGAGAUGGCACCAUCUACUGAGCAGAGACGGCUGCUGCAGAUGCCGUGCAUGUCCACCAGCUUUAUCGCUCUGUCAGAUUUCCAUUCAUUGUUUUAUGUCCAAUCACGUCCAACUAAUCUGUCAGCUUAGCUCUGUGUGGGCACCGCUGAUUCACAGCCUUUACAGUUAAAAAUAGUUGUCUUUUGCUUCAUUUCUGAUGAUUAUUGCAACAUCGAGAGUAAGAGACUGUGGUCAUUGUGUGGUCACUGUGGUAGGUUUGAUAGUUCGUGUUAUUUAAAUAUGCAAACCAAUACUUGUAAUGCACUUACAUAAGAGAAAUAUGCGAAAUGAAGUGAAGUGGGAGUCGUCGUAUUAUACAAGCCAAGUCGCAGUGAUGUUUAAUGUUUCGGCUGCUGGCACAGAAAGCGUGUGGUAUCAGUUGUAUGACAGAAGUGAGGCAAGCAUACAACAUGUGAGGCCUUUUAAAUGAAGUUUUACAUUUUUUGUAAACAGCAGGCCUGGAGUCAUCCGGCGUCUCUGCCUGUUAGAGAGUAUGAGUCAAGCCCUGAAGCAACAUUAACAGACAGGGAGGAACAAAACCCUCAUACUCCUGAUGUGUCAGUGGAAAUGAAAACAGCUAAACUGUGACAGCAAAUUCAGAAACAAACAAGCCUGCUCGGUGAAAACAUUUAUCACAGGGUGUGCACAAGUGUUAAAAUUAGUACCUGAACUCAGAAACAGCAGAUAAGAAAACGGCUUUUCACAGGAGUCCAUUUGGAAGAAACGAACAUGAUGUAUUGAGAUAAAGAAUUUGACUAUUAUUAUGCUGUUUGACAAUUAAACUCAGUUGACCCAUCAUAGCAGACUGGAGUCCUAACAAUGAUAGGAAUUAGGAACCCCAGAGUCUAGAUGGUGGUGGUGGUAAUGAAGAUGAAGGGGGAAUGACAGAAAAGCAGUGAGAUUUACAGUAGACAGAAUAGCAGCUGAUUGGCUCACAGAAGGUGGGCAAGAAAAAGACUGGAGUAGAGUAAUGAUUGAGUUUGCAAGCGUGGGAAAGAGGAAGUGAUGAAGAGAACAGACUAGCAGCUCGAACACCCAGGAAAGCAGGCGGAUGACUGAUUACAGAUGUUCCUUAUUGAACUUACGCAUAAGCUUCAUUUAGAUUCAUCCUUGUAUAUGUUUAUGUUAAGAAUACAUAUUCUUACCCAAGGUGACAUGUGGUGACUUUUACAGGAACGCAAACAGAGACAGCCACCCCACCUCAACCCCCUCCAAAAAGAGAACAUCUUAUAGAGUUGUGAAAUACUAUUACUUAUAUAGUUGUCAUCUAAAUGUUUGCUAUUAGCUCACAAUGAAGAGUGAUGGAGGAUUUUUUAGAAGCACUCCUUUAAUAAAAGUAGCAAUGAA